CUUUUCACAUUAAAAAUAUUUCCAGAGUCAUGCAUUCUAUUUAUGUAAAAGUGAAAUUUAGAAAACAGUGUUAGCGAUUAGAUAAAGCAGGUGGGUUGGCCGGAAAGAGUGUUGAGAAAGGGGAAUAUGCAAAAUCUAAAGGAGACUGUUAUAGGCACGGAUUCAGGAGUUUGGGAGAGAUAAGGUUUAGGAAGAAGAUACUGAAAAAUGCACUUCAGUUGUCACGAGGGAGGAAGGAAAGACAAUCCCAAAUACAUAUGUGUUUACUUUUUCCCAAGGAGCGUUUGAUUUUACAGGUGAAGAAGCUAACUGGAAAUUUUAGGGGAAACAUCUGCACCAACAGAACUAAAAUCCCACUAUGAAUUUCCAUCGAGUUGUGAAAAGCAAUGUAGUCUAAUAACACCAGGUCUAAAAAUCUCUUAGACCCUACUGUCUUCUUUCUGAGUCGAGAGCACAGGUUUUUCUGACAGUCUUAGUCUAUAGUGUGUAUUUUCAGGAGGACUCAUGGUAUUCCUGUUUAGCUACUGCAAGUCUGUGAUCUGCCUUUGUUUGGCCGCCUAUUUCCACUUCAUGCGCCAUAGACGAUUUGUAUAGACUCAGUGCAAAAUCCCACUGCCCAUCGCUGUCCUCUGUAUUUCUAACCGGUCAUACUGGCAUUACCUGCACCGC
rnacentral:lncRNA from 1 species